rnacentral:rRNA from 1 species
AUUGAACGCUGGCGGCAGGCCUAACACAUGCAAGUAGAGCGAGCGGCGGACGGGUGAGUAAUGUCUGGGAAACUGCCUGAUGGAGGGGGAUAACUACUGGAAACGGUAGCUAAUACCGCAUCCCAUCAGAUGUGACGAUAUGGGAUGAGCUCGUAGGUGGGGUAACGGCUCACCUAGGCGACAAACCCUAACUCGUCUGAGAGGAUGACCACCCACACUGGAACUGAGACACGGUCCAGACGCCUACUGGUGGUAGCAGUGGGGAAUAUUGCACAAGGGGCGCAAGCCUGAGGCAGCCAUGCCGCGUGGGUGAAGACGGCCUUCGGGUUGUAAAGCACUUUCAGCGGGGAGGCGUUACCCUCAGAAGAAGCACCGGCUAACUCCGUGCCAGCAGCCGCGGUAAUAC